rnacentral:rRNA from 1 species
GAUGAACGCUGGCGGCGUGCCUAAUACAUGCAAGUCGAGCGAACGGACGAGAAGCUUGCUUCUCUGAUGUUAGCGGCGGACGGGUGAGUAACACGUGGAUAACCUACCUAUAAGACUGGGAUAACUUCGGGAAACCGGAGCUAAUACCGGAUAAUAUUUUGAACCGCAUGGUUCAAAAGUGAAAGACGGUCUUGCUGUCACUUAUAGAUGGAUCCGCGCUGCAUUAGCUAGUUGGUAAGGUAACGGCUUACCAAGGCAACGAUGCAUAGCCGACCUGAGAGGGUGAUCGGCCACACUGGAACUGAGACACGGUCCAGACUCCUACGGGAGGCAGCAGUAGGGAAUCUUCCGCAAUGGGCGAAAGCCUGACGGAGCAACGCCGCGUGAGUGAUGAAGGUCUUCGGAUCGUAAAACUCUGUUAUUAGGGAAGAACAUAUGUGUAAGUAACUGUGCACAUCUUGACGGUACCUAAUCAGAAAGCCACGGCUAACUACGUGCCAGCAGCCGCGGUAAUACGUAGGUGGCAAGCGUUAUCCGGAAUUAUUGGGCGUAGAGCGCGCGUAGCGGUUUUUUAAGUCUGAUGUGAAAGCCCACGGCUCAACCGUGGAGGGUCAUUGGAAACUGGAAAACUUGAGUGCAGAAGAGGAAAGUGGAAUUCCAUGUGUAGCGGUGAAAUGCGCAGAGAUAUGGAGGAACACCAGUGGCGAAGGCGACUUUCUGGUCUGUAACUGACGCUGAUGUGCGAAAGCGUGGGGAUCAAACAGGAUUAGAUACCCUGGUAGUCCACGCCGUAAACGAUGAGUGCUAAGUGUUAGGGGGUUUCCGCCCCUUAGUGCUGCAGCUAACGCAUUAAGCACUCCGCCUGGGGAGUACGACCGCAAGGUUGAAACUCAAAGGAAUUGACGGGGACCCGCACAAGCGGUGGAGCAUGUGGUUUAAUUCGAAGCAACGCGAAGAACCUUACCAAAUCUUGACAUCCUUUGACAACUCUAGAGAUAGAGCCUUCCCCUUCGGGGGACAAAGUGACAGGUGGUGCAUGGUUGUCGUCAGCUCGUGUCGUGAGAUGUUGGGUUAAGUCCCGCAACGAGCGCAACCCUUAAGCUUAGUUGCCAUCAUUAAGUUGGGCACUCUAAGUUGACUGCCGGUGACAAACCGGAGGAAGGUGGGGAUGACGUCAAAUCAUCAUGCCCCUUAUGAUUUGGGCUACACACGUGCUACAAUGGACAAUACAAAGGGCAGCGAAACCGCGAGGUCAAGCAAAUCCCAUAAAGUUGUUCUCAGUUCGGAUUGUAGUCUGCAACUCGACUACGUGAAGCUGGAAUCGCUAGUAAUCGUAGAUCAGCAUGCUACGGUGAAUACGUUCCCGGGUCU